rnacentral:rRNA from 1 species
AUUGAACGCUGGCGGAAUGCUUUACACAUGCAAGUCGAGCGGCAGCGCGGGGCAACCUGGCGGCGAGCGGCGAACGGGUGAGUAAUACAUCGGAACGUACCCAGUUGUGGGGGGAUAGCCCGGCGAAAGCCGGAUUAAUACCGCAUACGACCUGAGGGUGAAAGGGGGGGAUCGCAAGACCUCUCGCAGUUGGAGCGGCCGAUGGCGGAUUAGCUAGUUGGUAGGGUAAAGGCCUACCAAGGCGACGAUCCGUAGCUGGUCUGAGAGGACGACCAGCCACACUGGAACUGAGACACGGUCCAGACUCCUACGGGAGGCAGCAGUGGGGAAUUUUGGACAAUGGGGGCAACCCUGAUCCAGCCAUUCCGCGUGAGUGAAGAAGGCCUCGGUUGUAAGCUCUUCGGUCAGGACGAAACGGUAGGGUCCGUAAUACGAUCUGCUAAUGACGGUACCUGAAGAAGAAGACACCGGCUAACUACGUAGCCAGCAGCCGCGGUAA